rnacentral:lncRNA from 1 species
GGAUAUACAAAAUAAAUGUUAAUGCAUCGAGACAAGGCCUGCAAGGGCCUUCAAGGAACAAAAUUGAACUCCUCGCCUCCAAUCACACAAAGAAAUUCUCGUACCUAAUAAGUUAUCAGGGCCUAAAGCCAACAUACACUAAUUUAUAUUCUUAUUAAAGUUCUUGGAGAUGAAUCUAUGCCCUUUAACCACAUUUGUCACUUCUAAUAAUUAUCUAACCGCAAAAUUUGAAUAAAAUUGCAAGUUAAAUGAUCUGAGAGGAAGUCAUAUUAACAAGACUAACUCAUGUUUCUUUGGAAUCAAAAUAAACAUACUUAGGUAUUACAAUAAAGCAAUAUAAAUAUAUGCACAUAUACUGUCCUAAUGACAUCAAAACUUUUAUGAGUUGAGCUCCUGUGCUUUUAAAAGCAUAUGAGUCAGAUGUUUUCAAGAUCCGCGCAGCGCUAAUAAAUAAAACUUAAUGGGAUACACCGUUAAUAGUAUUAAAAACGACAUGACGGUUAAAAAGACACAAGCACAAAUGCUCACAGGAGACUCAACUCAACUUUUUGUAAUAUCCGGACCUGUCGCAACCCGCCUAUGACGAUACUUUGCUGAGGCGAGGAUGGCGACAGGGAUGAUGGUGGUUGCCAAUACCUAUUGCCAGCGUGAAGCACAGUUGGGUAACAAUAAUUUGGGGAAUUGAAUUGUGUUUAGGGGGGAAUGAGGAUUGAGAUAAGAGGUAAAGAGUGAGAGAUUGGAGAUUGAGAGAGAAAGGAGGAGAUGGAGGCAGAUAGGGAUUAGGGGUUAAGAGGAGAAGAAAGAAUUGGGGAAGAAGAUAAUAUUUCUAUUCCAUAUUCUUUUUUUCAUUACAUCUCCGUAUUUAUAGUUCUAUAUGCUUAAUACUGAAAAGAAAGACAACUAAUCUUAUGGGACUAAACAGCAAGGUAGAAAAUAGAGACUUGGCUAAGUGGGCCGCCAUCUGGUGCUUUGCUGGGCCUCCGAUGACUUAACAGACCCACAGGAACCCUUGCAAUCGGGUAAGCGGAUAGUCGGGUGUGCUACCCGGUCGACCCUUCGACCGGCGGGUCUUGGGUCCGCCUUUUGUGCUCGCUCCGGAGUUCCGUUCACCCGAUCCGACAGCAGUCAAAGUAUUACUACUUCGGCUUCAUCACUAGAUCCGGGUGGAUCUCCUCUUCAGCUCCCACUCCCUCCUCUGAUCGAAGGAUGCCCUAGUCGCUUCCGAUCUCUCUGCCAGCUCACUCGUUUGCCGGAGCCCCUCGGAACACUCCCGACGGACCCACGUCGUCGAUAAUCUCCUCGCCACCUACUGCUCCUCUUAUCCCUUACUCAGCUAGUAAAGUAACUACCUUCACUACUCUUCUACUAACUACUGCUACUUAUUUUUCCAGGAUGAUAUACUCCCUUCUCUGAUCACUUCUUAACUACUCCGCCCCUUUGCUGCAACUCCUGUCUGGCCGCUUGGGUUGUUACAGCUCCCCUCCCCUCAAGGCGACCCUUGUCCUCAAGGGUCGAAAUCGGGGAACUGAGCCUUGAUGCUCCAGUAGUCCUCCCAUGUCGCCUCUGUUUCGUCGAGAUUGCUCCAUUUGAUGAGGGCCUGAGUUACCGCCCUGUUUCCCCUCCGCACCGGUCGUCGAUCCAGUACCUUCUCCGGCUGCGCCAGGAGCUGACCUCCUUCUCCUACGAGGGGUACAGUAGGAGACGACUGGGCGGAGGUCGGUACCCCCCUCUUAAGGAGUGAGACAUGAAAAACGGGAUGGAUUCUUGAUCCCUCCGGUAGUUGUAGCCUGUAGGCUACUGGCCCGACCCGCGCGGAGAUUUUAAAGGGUCCGUAAUACCUCGAGGUGAGUUUGAUGUUGCGCCGUAGUGCUACGCUGCUCUGUCUGUAGGGUUGAAGCUUCAGGUAAACCAUUUCUCCUUCCUGAUAUUCCUUGUCCACUCUCUUCCGGUCAGCAUUUUGCUUCAUCCUGUUUUGCGCCUCCUUGAGCCUUUCCCUCAGUAGGCUCACCAUCUUGUCCCUUUCCUUGCUCCAUUCUUCGACCAGAGGCCCCGUAUCCAUGCCUAGAUUGGUCGCCGCGUGAGUAGGUGGAGGGUAGCCGUAUAAGGCCUGGAAGGGGGUCAUUCCCAGGGGAGUAUGGUGAUUAGUAUUGUACCACCAUUCGGCUAAAGUUAGCCACUUAUGCCAUUUGUGUGGAUAUUGAAAGGUCAUGCAGCGAAGGUAGGUCUCUAGGCACCUAUUUACUCGCUCGGUCUGUCCGUCGGUCUGGGGGUGAUAAGCAGUGCUCAUUUGUAACUUGACUCCCAGCAAUUUGAAGAGGUCUUGCCAGGUCUGACUGGUGAAUACCUUAUCUCUAUCCGACACUAUCCCCUUGGGUAACCCAUGUAGCCGAUACACUGUAUCUAAGAAUGCUUUAGCUACUUCCUGUGCAGUAUAGGGGUGGGUGAGGGAGAUGAAGUGUGCGUACUUAGUGAGUCUGUCAACCACCACUAGGAUUGUGUCCUUCCCCUCGGACCUUGGUAAAGCCUCCACGAAGUCCAUACUGAUCUCCUGCCAGGCUUGCGUGGGAAUCUGUAGGGGUUGGAGAAGCCCCGCGUAAGGAGUGCCAUCUACCUUGUUCUUAAUACAGAUUUCACACUCCUUGACCCUUUUUUCUAUAUCUUGUUUCAUUCCUGGCCAGUAAAAAAGUUGCUUUGCUCUCUUGUAAGUGUGGUUCAUUCCCGAAUGCCCACCCAGUGAGGAGGCAUGCAUCUGCUCCAUUAAUUUCCCCUUCAGAUCUCCCAUGCUCCCAAUGUAAAUCCUUCCCUUGUACUUGAGCACUCCCUGGCAGUAGGAAUAGUUCGGGUGAGCUGCAGGGUCCAGCAGCAACUCUGCUAUUAUCUUCUGUAUUUGUGGUAUUCCUUCAUAGCUGUUGGUCACCUCUUGUACCCAAGUCGGAAUGAUUGCUGUGAUGGCCAUGCUGUCCCCUUCUUCCCUCCUCCUCCUUGACAAGGAAUCGGCUGCUAUGUUUUCCCUUCCCUUCUUAUACUGUAUGGUGUAAUCCAAUCCCAUCAGUUUGUACAUACCUUUUUGUUGAAUUGCUGUUGUUAUCUUCUGAUCUAGCAAAUACUUCAAACUCUCAUGAUCAGUUUUGAUCACAAACGGUCGUGAGCUAAGAUAAUGCUUCCAUUUAGCAACUGCCAACAAAAUGGCGAGGAACUCCUUCUCAUAUGUGGAUAACCCCAUGUUCUUGGGACAUAUGGCCUUGCUGAUAUAAGCGAUAGGGCGCCCAUCUUGAGUAAGCACAGCUCCUAUUCCGUUCCCCCACGCGUCCACUUCCAAAGUAUAAGGUUUGAAGUGGUCUGGCAUUGCCAACACAGUGCAGUAGUCAUUACUUCCUUGAGCUUCUCGAAGGCCUCUGUCGCUUUCUCAUUCCAACCGAAAUUAUCCUUCUUUAGCAGCUCGGUGAGGGGCUUGCUUAUGCUGCCAUAUCCUUUGAUAAAUCUCCUGUAGUAGCCAGUGAGACCUAAAAACCCUCUCAGCUCUUUCACCGAAGCGGGAAUUGGCCAACUCUUCAUGGCUUCCACUUUCGCCGGGUUUGUAGCAACUCCCUCUUUAGAUAUUAUGUGUCCCAAGAAUUCGACUUGUGUCUGUCCGAAGAAGCACUUACUCCUCUUUGCAAAUAGGCUAUUACUCUUCAACACCAUAAGCACCUGUCUAAGGUGCUCGACAUGCUUCGCCAAAUCCUUGCUGUACACAAGUAUAUCGUCAAAAAACACAAGAACGAACUUCCUCAAGUAAGGGGAGAAUACCUCGUUCAUGAUGGCUUGGAAUGUCGCCGGCGCGUUCGUUAGCCCGAACGGCAUGACGAGAAACUCGUAGUGUCCGCUAUGAGUUUUGAAUGCCGUCUUAUGAACGUCGUCUGGGUGCAUCCUCACUUGAUGAUAACCCGACCUUAAGUCGAUCUUGGAAAAAUACUCGGAUCCUCCCAAUUCGUCGAGCAAAUCAUCUAUCAAAGGUAUUGGGUACUUAUCCUUAAUAGCCGCCUUGUUGAGCUGCCUAUAGUCCACGCAGAAACGCCAACUGUUGUCCUUCUUUUUGACUAACAGCACCGGCGAGGCAUAGGGACUGGUACUCGGCUGUACGAUCUCAGCUUGUAGCAUCUCCUUGAUUUGUCUCUCGAUUUCGUUCUUUUGCUCAUGGCUAUACCGAUAAGGUCUCAAGCUGACCGGCUUGGCAUCGAAAUUAAGUGGAAUUCUGUGAUCCUGGCUCCUACUGGGUGGCAACCCUUGUGGCUCCUGGAAUAUUCCUUCGAAUUGAGUCAACACUUGCUGCACUGGCAGGGGUAUGUCCUUCUCCCUUUCUAGAAUUUCACUGGAAUAGUAAUGCCCGAUAGCACAACAGUUCCCCUCUAAGCCGGCUUUGUACCAUUGCACCGCCGUAAUGGCUUUCAACUCAGCUGCAGCCUCUUCCAUCUUGGAACCCUCGGAUAUGCCCUUGAGACUUAUUUGCUUCCCCUCUUUUAUGAAAGUCACCAAAAGAUUGGAGUAAUCAAAGGUUACCUUGCCGUAAGUCCGGAGCCAAUCGAUGCCCAAAAUGAUGCUUGAUCCGUCCAAUCUGAUCACCCUCAAUUCAAAUUGGAAGGGCUCUCCUUGCAUGGCCCAUUUAAAGUCGGUACACUUGAGUUUGCUCACCACCUUGUGGCCGUUGGCUACGGUCACCGUUAGAGGUGAAGCUUCUGUCAUAUGUGCCUUAACUUCCUUGGCCACCUGGAAAUCGAUGAAGCUGUGUGUGCUUCCCGUAUCAAUUAGUAUGGUCACUGCCUUGCCCCCCACUUCUCCUUGCACCUUGAUCGUGUCAUGAUGGUGCUGACCAUUAAGGGCAUGUACAGAGACGCCUAACUCCUCGCUUUCUUCCCCUGCGGGUUGUUGCUCUUCUUCUUCCACCUCUUGGAGUAAUCUUUCGUCAAAUACUUCGUCGGGUUCCUCGUGACCACUGAUGAGGUGUAAAGUCUUGCUUUGACACUGAUGCCCCGGCUGAUACUUUUCCCCGCACCUGUAGCACAAGCCUGCUGCCUUCCUGUGCUCAAAUAACUGCCUAUUGUUUAGUUGUUGUGGGUUGGCGGUUCUAGGAUAACUUGCUCUAUCCUCCCCUCCAGGAGUGGCCACCUUAUAUCCACUGUUCCCUGUGGCAGUCCCUACAGGUGCCCGAUAUCCAGUUCUGCUCUUUCUCAUUAUAAUCGAUAAUGCUUGCUCAUUUAAUCUUGCCUGCUCAUAUACCUCUUCCAAGGUGGUGGGGUGCGAUAAAUCAAUAAAUGGUACAACUCCUCCUUCAAUCCGCUUAUGUAACUUUCGAUAAAAUGUCGCUCGCUAAGUGUGGGGUUAAGGAAGAGCAUCUUGGCUCUCAGGUCUUCGAAUCUCUCCUGAUAUUUCUCUACGGUACUAGUUUGUGUCAGCUUGUUGAACUCUCUAACAUAUCUCCCUAUGCCGGAGUCUCCGAACCUCUUGCACACUGCCUUAGACAGCUCCUCCCAAGUGAUGUUUAUUUUAUCGAUAAGGUACCCUUCCUUCCACCUGUGGGCUUUCCCUGAGAAAUGCAUGGUUGCGAUCUCCACCCAUUGUGGCUCUGGAAUCUGAUAAAUCCUGAAAUACUGUUCACACUUGCUGCCCCAUUCCCUGGGUUCCUCCCCACAGAAAUUUGGAAAGUCCAGCUUCGGAUAGGGAACAUAGUAGUUUGGCCUACCCUGCUGCUCCUCUACCCUCUCUUGGGCUCGAAAAGGGUUGGGUCUCCCCUGCUGCUCCUCUACCCUUUCUUGGGCUCGAAAAGGGUUUGGAAGGAUUCCCUUGCCCCAGUCUUCGCCCUGGCGGCUACCUACAGGUUGUUGACCUUCCCUGAUGGUUAGGGACACAUUGCUAGCAGUUGAUUUGCCCGUGGACUCUGAGCUAGAUGGCAGAGGUUGAGUGGUCAUCAUCCUGAGCAACUGCUCAUGACGUCGGGCGAUAUCCUACUGCAUGGUCUCGUGGCGUCGUGCAGCCUCAAUCUGUAUGGCUUCGUACCGCUGUUUUCCUUCCUGCUGUAAAUCAUCUAUUUGCUGCGUUAACACCCCCAUCUUCUUACUGUAAUCAAUGCUAAACUGAUGCAAUCUUUCCUCGACCUUCUCACUGCAUUCAGUUGUAAGUUGGUGCAUCUUGUCCUCUAGCAGAUUAAUGUGCUCAUUCAUCUCUCUCAUCCUGGUGCCCUCAGCCAUCUCUACUUCUUCUAUGAGUUUCUUACUGUUGAAUUUAAAGCGAUUUCCCUUUUUCGCCCCAAUCUUGCUGGAUACAAUAACCUACAAGGUGGCCUAGGAUGCUAGUCUGAGGCUUGGUCUCUGAUUCGAUUGAUGAAACAGGGACCAAAUUCUUCUUCACCUUGUUACACUCCUACUUAUGCAGGCUAAAGAGAAACAGGUAAUACUCAAUGCAGGAAUUGAGCGGUCGGACAGUUACCUUGCCCACAAGAUGUUCGGCUAUGAUCAGGUGGUCAUCCUCUUCAGAUCUGGUAAUGUCUCUUCACCCCAGGCUCCUAACAGUGGCUCCCUUUGUUGAGUCCCACUCGCAAGCGAGUCUCACAGCGCGGGAACUCUUACUGCCAGGCCGAUUCUACAAUCCAAUGGAUUGGAAUCAACAUGCAGCUACACUGUUGUCUCCCAGGUCUCGAUGGCUCUGAUACCAAAUUGUAAUAUCCGGACCUGUCGCAACCCGCCUAUGACGAUACUUUGCUGAGGCGAGGAUGGCGACAGGGAUGAUGGUGGUUGCCAAUACCUAUUGCCAGCGUGAAGCACAGUUGGGUAACAAUAAUUUGGGGAAUUGAAUUGUGUUUAGGGGGGAAUGAGGAUUGAGAUAAGAGGUAAAGAGUGAGAGAUUGGAGAUUGAGAGAGAAAGAAGGAGAUGGAGGCAGAUAGGGAUUAGAGGUUAAGAGGAGAAGAGAGAAUUGGGGAAGAAGAUAAUAUUUCUAUUCCAUAUUCUUUUUUUCAUUACAUCUCCGUAUUUAUAGUUCUAUAUGCUUAAUACUGAAAAGAAAGACAACUAAUCUUAUGGGACUAAACAGCAAGGUAGAAAAUAGAGACUUGGCUAAGUGGGCCGCCAUCUGGUGCUUUGCUGGGCCUCCGAUGACUUAACAGACCCACAGGAACCCUUGCAAUCGGGUAAGCGGAUAGUCGGGUGUGCUACCCGGUCGACCCUUCGACCGGCGGGUCUUGGGUCCGCCUUUUGUGCUCGCUCCGGAGUUCCGUUCACCCGAUCCGACAGCAGUCAAAGUAUUACUACUUCGGCUUCAUCACUAGAUCCAGGUGGAUCUCCUCUUCAGCUCCCACUCCCUCCUCUGAUCGAAGGAUGCCCUAGUCGCUUCCGAUCUCUCUGCCAGCUCACUCGUUUGCCGGAGCCCCUCGGAACACUCCCGACGGACCCACGUCGCCGAUAAUCCUCCUCGCCACCUACUGCUCCUCUUAUCCCUUACUCAGCUAGUAAAGUAACUACCUUCACUACUCUUCUACUAACUACUGCUACUUAUUUUUCCAGGAUGAUAUACUCCCUUCUCUGAUCACUUCUUAACUACUCCGCCCCUUUGCUGCAACUCCUGUCUGGCCGCUUGGGUUGUUACACUUUUAUUUAGCAAAAACUAUUUUUACAGUAACUAAAUAAUGAUAAUAUGAGAAAACAUAAUUAAAAGAGACUAAACAGAUCUUAACAAUAAAACGAAG